AUAACAUUAAAUUUGAAUAUAUAUUUUAUGGCGUAUUAGUAUAACAUUAAUUUUUAUGUAUAUUAGGAACACUUACUAUGCAAUUACCUCUUUCAGCAAUACUUUCAUAUAUUUGUGACAGGAGAAACAGUGCAUCAAAUAUAGCAUCAUAUUUAUUUGACAACAAAAUAUAUCGAUAGAUCGAAAACGAAUACAUUUCUGAAUUAUUAAUACAUUUAAAAUUCGAAUGUUACAAAUUGUUCAAUUAUUUAUAAAAACUAAAAUUAAAAAUUUACUAGAGAAUACUAAAACUAAAUUGGAAAGUAUUCAAAAAUGUUAUUCAUUUAGUUAGUAUUAGAAAACGUUAGUUUAUUGCGCGAAUAAUUAACGAUCCGUUUAGAUAGUAGGCCCUAUAUUUAAAUAUUUUAUUCUUUUUGUAAAUAUAAAUUACUAGUCAAGGAAUUGCAAACAUUUUUAUCACUUUUAUAGUAAUUAUUUCACGCAACAUUAAAAUUUCGAUAAAUAAAUUUUUGAUUAGUUAUUGUUUCAAGUUUUGUAAGUUCAAAAAUCUUCUCUACAUGAUUUUUAAGAUUUUGAACAAAAAAAUAAAUAUCAUAAAAGGGGAAAAAAGAAUUGUAAGGUGAAGAUAAAAAAUAAAAGAAUUUACUAAUAUUUAAGCAGUGAGUAAUAUUAUAAACUUUUAUUGGAAGAAAAAACUGAAUUAUUUAAAAUCAAAAUUUACUGAAGAAAAAAAAAUCUAAAACUAUGUUUCUAAUAGACAAUGACAUUAACUAUAAGAGAUGUAAUUUCGCAUAAAACUUUUGAAAAAUGAUUCAAAAGUUUAUUGUUUAUAGUAGACAAAUAACACGAUUUAUUUAUUUUUAAAUAACAAAUUAAUGUAACAACAAAUUCUAAAUUCACAAAAUUUUACGAAUGGACUGUUUCUGGUUAGAUCUUUAUUCCAAUAGUUGAUCAGUGUGCUAUAUUGUGUUAUUUAAUAAAUUAAAAUCAAACGAUUACGCAGGCCGCAAUUUAUCAAUUUUAGUUUGAUGCUAAUGUUUUUCUUACAUAACGAAUCAGAAAUAAUGACCUUUAUCAUAACGAGAGUCGAACAUGAAUCCCAUGGGAAGGGAGAAUUCUGAGAUAUCAUAUUCUAAAAAAUGUGUAUGAAACGAAACUAUAACUUAACAUUUAGGGUAAUAUCAUCAAAUAUUGAAGUAAGAAAAUUGUUAAAAAUAGAAUGCGAAAGUAAAGUUAUAAAAAUUUUCUAUAUAAAUAUUCUUGUUAAUAGAAUACCACAUGAUACAAUUUAUAAACUAAAUUUAUAGGAUAUCCAUAUUUAAUGUCGGCAUUUUUUAAUUAAUUAAUUAAUUAAUGCAUAAUUAAUAUGUUUAAAAUUUUUUAUUAGCUUAUGUAACAACUUCGAUAAAAGAACAUAAUGCUACACUAAAAUUACUGAAAUUGUAAAAAUUGGGAGUAGGCAUUUGUUUAAUAACAUCUGUUUUAAUAUUUAAAAAACUGUUUUUUGAAGUUUAUGUCUAAUCAUAUUAGCUAAUUUUUAGGUUAUAUCAAUAUUUAAUUUCAUAAACUAUACUAUUCCUUCAUAAAGGAUAAUCCUCAUUAUUAUACCGUAAUAAAACUCUAGUUAAAAAGAAAUUCAAAUGUAACAGAUAACAUCUUAAAAACAUUAUGCUAAUACAUUUCAUAAUAUGGAUUGUGGUCAAACUAAGGCCUUAUUAUAAAUAUGUUUCAAUAUGAUUGUACAAUAUAUAAAUUAAAUAAUAUUUUUAAAAUGUCGUUCAGAAAAUAUUCUGUUUUUUCUUUACUGUCAAAAUAAAAGUCUAAUAAAACGGUUUGAAUGUAAACAAAAGCAUUUUCAAAUUAGAUAUUAAAGACAGAAUCGAUUAAUGAUUAUUUUAAGUUAAAAUCAGCAAUAUAAAAAGACAAGCGAAUGAUACACAAAACAUGUAAUUUAUUCAUUAUUUACUUUAUUAAUAAUUAACAAUCUUACGAAAUUUCGGACAACUCCCAUUACUAAAUUAGUUUUCUUUCUUAUCACUAGACGGAGUUUGUAUAUUAAAAUUUCCAAUGACUAUCGAGUCUAACGUUAACCCGCCACGUUUAAGAUAAUUCGGGUUUUGUUAUUGGCUGUUUGUUUCUAUAGCAACCAAAUGUACUAGUUCUGUACACAGACGGAACUAGAGAAAUACGAUGAACAGUGGGUUCGCACAUAGUCCUAUUGAAGCUGUCACAUGAUUUAAAAAAAGGACUAAACAACACUACAGAAAAAAAAUGUGCCAUAAAAUGACACGCAAGAAUGACAACGGGAAAGUUUUUAUAUGAAGUGCAAUCAUCGGAUAAAAAAAUGGUGAUAUUUCAUCUUUCCGAAUCCAAUUGCAGGUAAUUUUGAAGAAUUGUCAGUUAUUGCAAAAAUUUAUAGGAAUAUAUUGUUAAACUGAUAGCCAGAUAUGUGAACACCUUUCUUAAAAUAGUCAGCGUGACGCCAUUGUUGAAUUGCGUGUGAGAAGAAUUGUAAUGUGAUAAAACGCUAUGUCUACUCCAAGCAGCGAGAUAUAAUGAAGAGAAAAAGGAAAAACAAGAAAAUUCUCAAUUUCACUUGAUAUAAUUAACAGUUAGAAUGGCUAUGGUAAGAGGGAUCGGAGGUAGAGGAGGAGGAAGAAGUAUGGGUGGACAAUGGGGUAAACGAUCUGGAAACUUCAGUCGACAGCAAAGUUCCGAUCCUAGUAAUCAGUCGGCCUAUUCCAGCAGAAAUGGGUGAGUAAGAUUCUGAACUUACAUACUGGAAUCAAAUAUACUUUAAGUUAAAACAUUUUUAUCGAAACAGAGUUUGUAAACGAUAGGGAUACAUUACCAGAUGGCGCCACCGUUUGACUACAUAAGUUAACUCGAUAAUUUAAUCUGAUUAAUACAUUACGGAAUUAUUGAAUUUUCAUUUAUUAAAAAUAUCAUUAAAUAAAUAUUUUAAAUUUAUUAUACUAUAAUAUUUUCAAUAAAAAUGCUGCUAGGAAAAUAGAUCAAAUUUAUUCAAGAAUAUUUUAAACAUUAUUUAAAUUAACAGUUAAUUAAUAUAUAAAAAGAAACUUGGAUUUGUAAAUAUAAUAUUGGCGUUAGAUUAUUUUCAUCAGAAGUUUAUAGAUCUGUAAUAAGAAAUGAAAACGUAAAGUAAAAAUUAUUAAAUAUUUCGACAGUUAUUAGGAAAUAUAAAGUGUUAUAUAGCUUAAUUAGCAUUUAGAAAAUAAUUAAAAAUUAGCAUUUGGUUCUUUUAAUUCGAUGAUCGAAUUUUGUAAAAAUUGAAAGAAACUAUUUGGCAAUUUUCUCUCGCAAAAAAUUAAAACUGGAAAUUAUAUAAAAGGAGUGUCUUCCGUUUAAGAAUAUCGAUUGAUAGAAAAAUUGCAUCGGUGCCAGUUAAGAGGACAUUAUUUAGACAUUUGUUGUUUCUUCAGCUUUUCUUGUCAUUCUUGAUUUCUUUUUCUUCUCUAAUAAUAAGUUAGAGGUCAAAGAAGGUCUUACAGAACCCUUUCGACUGAAGACGAUAUCCUCAAUUAGUUCGUCAUUUUAAUUAGAUUGUUCUUUACAUAGAUUUAAUCUUUCGAUAUUUAAACUUUCUAAAACAAAUAAUAACUUAUCUUUAGAAAAAGUAAUUUGUAGCAUUUUGAGAGGUAAAUAUACAAAAAAAAAAAAAAAAUUAAUUUUAACAUAACGAUGUUCUAUCAUGUAUUAAAUAAUUAAGGAAAGAAAGAUUUAAUUUUUCAUCCCUAUAAUUAUAAGCUGUAUGCUUCUUUUAUUUCAACUAAUAAAUUUUCAUCUUCUCAUCCUAGAAUAACACAUGGAAUACUAAAUUAUAAAUGAUAAAUGAACUGCUAUUCUUAAAUACCAUUGCAUAAGAAAACUGAAUCAUGUUUAAGAGAUUUUAAAUUUGAUAAAAACCACAGCCCAGACGAUUUUGUCUUCUGUUGCAUCUGAGUUUGCGCAACGAUCGGUAUCACGUGAUUCUCCCCAGUGACACUUGGGAUGCUGGAGAGUCAAAGUGACUACCCACGAAAGAAGUCGGUCCAUCCGAUUCUCUCUGUUUAAAAAGUAUGCAACUUUGUUUAAUUGGCCUAUAUCAUGUUUGCCGUGACGGAAUAUGCUCUGACGGAAUAUUUCUCUUUCAAGGGUUGUCAAUCGAUUUUGGAUGGAAAAUUUAAGAUCAUCAGGAGGUGACCUUGACUGUACAGUAGGACACCCAUUCUAUGACAGGAUCCACUGAAGAACAAAUCGGCGAGUGCCAACAAAUCUAUUAUGAGAACUUUUGCUGUAAAGAUCGAUUAUUUAAGGAUAAUUUUUGAACUAAGGACUUUAUUAUUUUCUACAUUUUUAAUAAGUUCAAUCUGAUUUUUACAUUUUAUUUCUUUAAACUGAGAGAAUAUUUUAAAGACAAAUAUCAUAGAAAAUAUGUAAUAUUGAACAAACCAAAAUGUAUCUACUUUACAUCUUUAAGAAUUUAAUAGAACUUAAAUUCCAGUUUCAUAAUAACAAGUAUAAGAGAAUAAAGAUAAUUUGCUUUAUAUCAUUUAUGAA
rnacentral:misc_RNA from 1 species